GAGUUUGAUCCUGGCUCAGGAUAAACGCUGGCGGCGUGCCUAAUACAUGCAAGUCGAUCGAUGGAAACCUAGCUUGCUAGGUGGAAGUAGAGGCGAACGGGUGAGUAACACAUAAGCAACCUGCCUACAAAGACUGGGAUAAUCUCUGGAAACGGGGACUAAGACCGGAUAGGUAAUAGGACCACAUGAUCUUAUUAUUAAAGGUGAGAAACACUAGUAGAUGGGCUUAUGGCGCAUUAGUUAGUUGGUAAGGUAACGGCCUACCAAGACGAUGAUGCGUAGCCGGGCUGAGAGGCUGAACGGCCACAUUGGGACUGAGACACGGCCCAGACUCCUACGGGAGGCAGCAGUAGGGAAUUUUCGGCAAUGGGGGAAACCCUGACCGAGCAACGCCGCGUGAGUGAUGAAAGUCUUCGGAUUGUAAAGCUCUGUUAUAAGGGAAGAACGUCCCGGAUAGUCUCCGGGAGUGACGGUACCUUAUCAGAAAGCUACGGCUAACUACGUGCCAGCAGCCGCGGUAAUACGUAGGUAGCGAGCGUUAUCCGGAAUUAUUGGGCGUAAAGGGUGCGUAGGCGGCUUGUUAAGUUUAAGGUGAAAGCGUGGGGCUCAACCCCAUAAAGCCUUAGAUACUGACGAGCUAGAGUACUGGAGAGGGUAGUGGAAUUCCAUGUGUAGCGGUAAAAUGCGUAGAUAUAUGGAGGAACACCGGUGGCGAAGGCGGCUACCUAGACAGAGACUGACGCUGAUGCACGAAAGCGUGGGGAGCAGAUAGGAUUAGAUACCCUAGUAGUCCACGCUGUAAACGAUGAAUACUAGGUAUCGGGGNCACUCGGUGCCGCAGUUAACACGAUAAGUAUUCCGCCUGUGGAGUAUGCA
rnacentral:rRNA from 1 species